rnacentral:rRNA from 1 species
AACGAACGCUGGCGGCAUGCCUAACACAUGCAAGUCGAACGAGACCUUCGGGUCUAGUGGCGCACGGGUGCGUAACGCGUGGGAACCUGCCCUUAGGUUCGGAAUAACUCCCCGAAAGGGGUGCUAAUACCGGAUAAUGUCUUCGGACCAAAGAUUUAUCGCCUUUGGAUGGGCCCGCGUUGGAUUAGCUAGUUGGUAGGGUAAAAGCCUACCAAGGCGACGAUCCAUAGCUGGUCUGAGAGGAUGAUCAGCCACACUGGGACUGAGACACGGCACAGACUCCUGCGGGAAGCAGCAGUGGGGAAUAUUGGACAAUGGGCGAAAGCCUGAUCCAGCAAUGCCGCGUGAGUGAUGAAGGCCUUAGGGUUGUAAAGCUCUUUUACCCGGGAUGAUAAUGACAGUACCGGGAGAAUAAGCUCCGGCUAACUCCGUG